GAGUUUGAUCAUGGCUCAGAUUGAACGCUAGCGGCAUGCUUAACACAUGCAAGUCGAACGGCAGCACGAGGAGCUUGCUCCUUGGUGGCGAGUGGCGGACGGGUGAGUAACGCGUAGGAAUCUACCUAGUAGUGGGGGACAACCCGAGGAAACUCGGGCUAAUACCGCAUACCCUUUUCGAAGGAAAGCAGGGGAUCUUCGGACCUUGUGCUAUUAGAUGAGCCUGCGUCAGAUUAGCUUGUUGGUGAGGUAAAGGCCUACCAAGGCGACGAUCUGUAGCUGGUCUGAGAGGAUGAUCAGCCACACUGGGACUGAGACACGGCCCAGACUCCUACGGGAGGCAGCAGUGGGGAAUAUUGCACAAUGGGCGAAAGCCUGAUGCAGCAAUGUCGCGUGUGUGAAGAAGGCCUUAGGGUUGUAAAGCACUUUCAGCGGGGAAGAAAAGUUUGUGGCUAAUAUCCACAAACCCUGACAUUACCCGCAGAAGAAGCACUGGCUAACUCUGUGCCAGCAGCCGCGGUAAUACAGAGAGUGCGAGCGUUAAUCGGAAUUACUGGGCGUAAAGCGCGUGUAGGUUGAUAUUUAAGUCGGAUGUGAAAGCCCCAAGCUCAACUUGGGAACUGCAUCCGAUACUGGAUAUCUAGAGUAUGGUAGAGGGAAGUGGAAUUUCCGGUGUAGCGGUGAAAUGCGUAGAUAUCGGAAGGAACAUCAGUGGCGAAGGCGACUUCCUGGACCAAUACUGACACUGAGACGCGAAAGCGUGGGGAGCAAACAGGAUUAGAGACCCUGGUAGUCCACGCCGUCAACGAUG
rnacentral:rRNA from 1 species